rnacentral:piRNA from 1 species
UCUUUGGGGUCUCACUGUCUGUGCGAGC